GGCCAGUUGGACUUCAGCGGUCGCCAUGGUGGUAUCGGGGACUCGGCCGGCAUCGUUAGGUGUUGAAUUAUGUGUUUCGUUUUGCUAGAUAUCGCCAAUUUGCUUUGAUAUUUGAUAAAUAACGUUGGCUCAUUCUUUGGUGACCUUGCAUACUAAUACGACGAUAUUUUGAUACCGAUUAUUAUACAUCAAACAUCAUGAGACAAAUGUGGCGAUUUCCACACCCUUUUGCAGUGCCCCCUCCCCUUGUGUAGUGAGUUAACAGGCUUGUAAGAACCAAGUGAACCAUUUUUUAGUCAAGUGGUCAUGAUCGUCCCUACAUCUGAUGGAUAAUAGUCUUGCGCAAACUUAUAAAGUACUGGAGGAAGCAGAAGUUACGAUUUUGGAGUACGCAAACUUAAUAUUAAACAAUAUCAGGUAUUUUGGCUAUAUAAAGUGAGAAGAAAAGUUCAAUUGAUCAUUUUUUAUUACAAUUGCAAUAAUGAUAAUAUCAUGAUAAUUGUACUGUCAGGUAUUGAUAAUAGUCAUGUCACGUCAUGCCACUAACCAGGCUCACAGACACAACACAUUUUCAUCUUUAUGUAUCUAGGCAUAAGGUAUUACAGGCAUGUUUUUGCACACCUCUCAUGUGCGAGUGGGCAUGGCCUCCUUCACAGUUAAGUUUUGGCUGAUUGUGCUCAAAUUUUGUAAGCACCUACAUGUAAAGGGAUGUAGAUACAGUUAGUCGGGCACUCUUCUCAAUUCAGUUUUGUGCAGCACUUCCUGCUUUCACCAUGCUGUGCCCACUCUGUUUUACAGUGGACAGCUGCUUCUGUGACACACAUUAAUCUUGCGUUCAUUGAAACACUUAGUUUUGAGUGUUUUGACUCAGUUUUGUUGUAACGUUACCUGUGUUUAUAUUUGAAUAACUUGUUUUGGGCUUCUCAUAUUUAUCUUUUUUUCUUGGCUUAGCAGGUUUAGUGUAAAACAAGUUUUAGCUGACAUUUUACAUGUUAAGAUUACAUGAGUGCAUACAUUUUAUAAAAGCUAUUUCAAAGUACUGUAGCCAUGUGUAACAUGCAUAUGUCUUAGUGAAUGACUACUCAGCAUGCUGCUUGGUGCUCAAUGGUAAUAGUUUGAUUUGUUUUUGACAUCAAGUAAGAUUUGAUUUUUGUUUCUGAGAUUCCAAUGUUAUUUGUGGCAAAUAUUUUCCAAAAAUUCUCCAUCUAAAGCUUCAACUGAAUUCUAAAAUGCCUGCAUUUUCUACCAGAAACAUUAUCAUUGAUACCUCCUACAAUAUUUCAUUUUGUCACCAGGUACCUGGACUGGUGAAAAGUGAAAACUGAAAUUCAUUCAUGUCACCAUUAUCCUAUGACCUACCCCCUAAAUGGAAUUGAUCUUGUUUCACAAAUGAGUUGUACAUUGUACAAUGUCUAUCAGCUGAUGUCUAUUGUCUAUCUCUCUUUCAGCACAGAAGAUCCUCAGUCAUAGUUAACAAAAUGGAAAAAAAAUUAGCUGUGUUUUUAAGAUUCCAGUGGUGGCCAUCAACUGCUCAGGAAAGCAGCCCAGAAUCACUUCACAACAGGUUUCCAAAGGAUCAUCAUUCAUCAGCACAGAAGGGUGGGAAAGAGAAGGCUGUUCAAAUUCUGAAAAGCCAGAGCUGCAAAGGAGGUCAAAGAUGCAGUGCAGUUGGCCCACUCAGUAGAGUUUCACUAGUGGUUCUGAUGUGGACUGAAGAUUACACGCUAGAUUGAAGUGGCCGGUCUGGAGCAACUAUAGUUCAUCAUUCUUGCUGAUUGUGGACGAGUAAGAGCCCGCGUUGGCCCCGAUCGGCGAUCGCUGGCCAAAGCCCACCACCAGUUUGGUGAUAGGCGUUGGCUGUGAUAUCUAGUGUUAAGUGUCGCCUAUGUGUGAAAAGGAUAAGUUGAUAACAAAACCUGUUGCGCCAUGUUAUUAACCCGCGCCCGGGUGGCCCUCAGCCAACUUGGUGGGGGGGGGGGGAGGUGUAUUCGGCCACACCAGGUUAUCUUGGAAUGUAGCAAAGCUGGAAAGACGCAGUAAAAUCAAUCUAUAGAUCGCUAUUUUUCUUCAGAAUCAUACAGGUCAUUUUUGAUCAGGUCAUCGCUGAGGUCACUGGAGGUCACCAAAAGUAAAAUGAUGACGAAUUUUGGCCCCCGAUUUUGACAACUUCACAAAUUGGUUCAUAAUUCGGGAACCAAAGAAGCUACAGCGCCGCGGAAAAGCGAAUUCGAUAGCUCUUUCGAAAAUCUUUCAGGUUCUCAGAUUUGAGCUAAGGUCAACUAGGGUUAAGCCUCCAAAGGGCAAAAACUGAACAAUCGGCUUGCUUCGGAAGUCGUCUUUUCUUUAAAAAUUGUUUAAACUGAUACCAACCUUUUAUUACGUUGAUUUUACCGGCACUGCGUUUCUCUCGUCUUCUUGGCCUAACAAGGUCAGCUUAAUAAAUUUGACCUCAGGUCAAUGUCGCAGAAAAUGCCAUUUUGCAUGUCAUUGAUUCGUUACAUUGAAAUUGAGAUUAACAUCAGUAGCGGCGGAACACCUUCAAUUAAGGGGGCAUUGCCGACUUUUGGUCUCAUUCUUUCCAUGCAACGCCCAUAGGGCUAAUGUUAAAAUGCCAAAAUCAAAGGGGGCACGGUGCCCCGGUGCCCUCGGCCUGUUCCGCCGCCUAUGAUUAUGAUGCUUUUAGCGCUCUGGCCACGUUCCAUCUAAAAUCGAUGUACAAAAAUAAACUGUUGGGAGGCGUUACAUGACCUGAGAUGACCUCAGGAGCAUACGAUAGAUCCCGAUGUUUGAGUGCUUUUGUUUCAAAAGCAGAACAUUUCGAGUUCCUCAUACUGACUGAAACUGGAGACGUCGCAAAGUUGACCUGACCCUAGGUCACCACCGAGAUCAAAAUUAAAGAUAUUCAAGAUGUUGGUACUGAUUCUCUCAUGCAAUAGCUCGAGUUUCAAACUUCUACUUCAUGGUGACCUGACCUGACCUUAGGUGACAUGGGGUUACUUUUUUCACAAUUGAUGCGAAUCGAUGCAUUAUACAUAAGCUAUACUAAGUUUCGUGUCGUUUUAUCUAUGCAAGCACAAAAUUGUCAGGUGUGGCCAAAAACGCCCCCACGGCCCACCCACCUGGGGAACGUUAAAGCAGUGAUGUAUUUUUUCGGUGUAUUCCACGAUGCAUCGAUCGGUGUAAUGCAUUACUUGAUAAUGCAUUAUUUAUUGCUGCGUGUGUACGCUUUUCCUCUGUUCAGUGUGAUCUGUGAUAGGAAAACUACCGAUAUAUCUCCACGCGCAUGACUGAAAGAGCUGGCGUGAUCUAUAAUAUUGGGUGUCUGUUUUUGUUUGACAUUUUAUAAAUAAUGAGUCAGC